UACGAAGGGGGCUAGCGUUGCUCGGAAUCACUGGGCGUAAAGCGCACGUAGGCGGACCCUUAAGUCGGUGGUGAAAUCCUGGAGCUCAACUCCAGAACUGCCUUCGAUACUGAGAGUCUCGAGUCCGAGAGAGGUGAGUGGAACUGCGAGUGUAGAGGUGAAAUUCGUAGAUAUUCGCAAGAACACCAGUGGCGAAGGCGGCUCACUGGCUCGGUACUGACGCUGAGGUGCGAAAGCGUGGGGAGCAAACAGG
rnacentral:rRNA from 1 species